UUAAGAAUGAUUGAGAAUGAAGUGGGGCUGCUAACCUUACUUCGGAUGGCUCAAAACCAUCCCUUCUUUAU
rnacentral:tRNA from 1 species